UUCGUUGUUCUUCUUCCUUGGGGUCCUCACAUUUUCAUCAGGCUUGAUUUUUUAUGAUUUUACUGCCUCUUUUGUUCUUCUUCUCUGUUGUUCUUCGUCCUCCCUCUUGCAUGCAAGGUGUUUGAGACCCUUUCUCUUCUUCUGCCUCUCCCUCUUCCUCUCUAAGCAGCCAUCCAACUACUUGAUCUAAUCAUCCUCCAAGCACUCUACCUUGACUCUUCUCUGGAGUUUUGAUCUGAUGCAGGUCUCCACUAAAUCAAGGGUCUAGCAUUCCUGGAGUUUCAAUUUGUUGGAGGUUUCCACUAAUCAAGAGGCUAUGGAGCAACUGAAAUUAGUAGCAAGUUUUGAAAAUAGUCUUAACGAACCUGAUGCCCUUUUCGACAAGCGAGAUCCAGAGCACAAUAUGUUAGGAAGACUGAGAGCAUGUAGAAGACUGUUAGGCAUGAUAAAGAAGAUAAUGUGCUGUUAUGGUUGAGCCAUUAAUAGGAGCAGAUGGUAUCUUCAAGUACAACACUUAUCUAUGGAAAAAUAUGGCUCUCUUAGAAGGAUAUGCUUUCUAUUUGGUCAUCAGUAUACCUUUAAUUGAAAUUCUUAUGUUUGUUUUUA